rnacentral:rRNA from 1 species
GACGAACGCUGGCGGCGUGCUUAACACAUGCAAGUCGAACGAGAAUCUACUGAAAGAGUUUUCGGACAAUGGAUGUAGAGGAAAGUGGCGGACGGGUGAGUAACGCGUGAGGAACCUGCCUUGAAGAGGGGGACAACAGUUGGAAACGACUGCUAAUACCGCAUGACGCAUAGAGGUCGCAUGAUCUUUAUGCCAAAGAUUUAUCGCUUCAAGAUGGCCUCGCGUCUGAUUAGCUAGUUGGCGGGGUAACGGCCCACCAAGGCGACGAUCAGUAGCCGGACUGAGAGGUUGAACGGCCACAUUGGGACUGAGAUACGGCCCAGACUCCUACGGGAGGCAGCAGUGGGGAAUAUUGGGCAAUGGGCGCAAGCCUGACCCAGCAACGCCGCGUGAAGGAAGAAGGCUUUCGGGUUGUAAACUU